rnacentral:rRNA from 1 species
ACAGAGGUGGCGAGUGUUGUUCGGAUUUACUGGGCGUAAAGGGUCCGCAGGCGGCUCUGUGUGUCAGAUGUGAAAGCCCACGGCUUAACCGUGGAAUGGCAUUUGAAACUACAGAGCUAGAGUACAGGAGAGGAUAGGGGAAUUCAUGGUGUAGCGGUGAAAUGCGUAGAUAUCAUGAAGAACACCGGUGGCGAAAGCGCCUAUCUGGACUGAUACUGACGCUCAGGGACGAAAGCCAGGGGAGCAAAGAGGAUUAGAUACCCUCGUAGUCCUGGCCAUAAACGGUGCGCACUUGAUGUGGGAGGUUUACCCCCUUCCGUGUCGAAGCUAACGCGAUAAGUGCGCCGCCUGGGAAGUACGGCCGCAAGGUUA